ensembl:lncRNA EPIC1 epigenetically induced MYC interacting lncRNA 1
GACCACCGGGAGGUGGAGAGGCUAAGAUGCUAGCAAAGGGCAGACCUGUAAGAGAGAGCCCUGGAGGGUGGGUGACAGCAAAGCUGACAGAGGGGGUCUUUUAGGAAAAGCCGUGGGAUGCUGCAUGUCACAGGAGAGCAGACGGCCUGCUGGAUUUGGAGACACUCAGGUCAGGGCCCGACUUAGGACAACUUUGGGCUGUGAGCUAGGUGGCGUAGGGUACCACAAGUUGAUUUAAUCCUAGCUCCUCUGGGGACAUGAAGAACACAAGAGCCAUUAUUCUGAGGACUCUGCUGGGUCUGAGCCCUUGCUCUUGCCUCCAGGACCCACUGGCAUUCCUUUCCCUAGCAAAAGGCGGAGGCCUCUGCGGGCUCACGACCCACACAGCCGCACCUGUGGGCCUCAUUCAAUCAGUUGAAUUCUUCAAGAGAGAAAAACUGAAGUCCCUUAGAAGGAAAGAGUUCUGCCUUCAGACUGUCUUUGAACUUAAGACUGUAGCGUCGACUCCUGCCGGAAUUUCCAGCCUGCUGGCCAGCUCUGCAGAUUCACACUUGCCAGCCUCCACAAUCGUGUGAGCCAAUUCCUUAACUUCUCUUUCUCCGUGUAUCCCUUUGGUGCUGCCUCUCUGGGGAGCCCUGACUAAUAUGCAUGCAGAUGAUACGGUGCCUGGCAUUCUGAAUACAUGCACUAAAUCCACCACUUUUCCCCAUUUAUAGAUUUGGAUUAACACACUAACUUACUCAUAUCUGCAAGUAUAAAUAAAAAAAAUUGCUGGUGCCAA